CAAAUUAAAACUAAGAAAGUAUUUUUAUUUACAAUAAAAAAGUUAUUGUUAAAUUCAAUAUAAUUUGA
rnacentral:tRNA from 1 species